GAUGAACGCUGGCGGCGUGCCUAAUACAUGCAAGUCGAGCGAACGGACGAGAAGCUUGCUUUUCUGAUGUUAGCGGCGGACGGGUGAGUAACACGUGGAUAACCUACCUAUAAGACUGGGAUAACUUCGGGAAACCGGAGCUAAUACCGGAUAAUAUUCUGAACCGCAUGGUUCAAAAGUGAAAGACGGUCUUGCUGUCACUUAUAGAUGGAUCCGGGCUGCAUUAGCUAGUUGGUAAGGUAACGGCUUAUCAAGGCAACGAUGCAUAGCCGACCUGAGAGAGGGAUAGGCCGCACUGGAACUGAGACACCGUCAAGACUCCUACGGGAGGCAGCAGUAGGGAAUCUUCCGCAAUGGGCGAAAGCCUGACGGAGCAACGCCGAGUGAGUGAUGAAGGUCUUCGGAUCGUAAAACUCUGUUAUUAGGGAAGAACAUAUGUGUAAGUAACUGUGCACAUCUUGACGGUACCUAAUCAGAAAGCCACGGCUAACUACGUG
rnacentral:rRNA from 1 species